AGUAGUUUGAUCAUGGCUCAGAGUGAACGCUGGCGGCAGGCCUGAUACAUGCAAGUCGAACGGCAGCACAGCAGAGCUUGCUCUGGUGGGUGGCGAGUGGCGGACGGGUGAGGAAUACGUGGGAAUCUGCCCAGUCGUGGGGGAUAACGUAGGGAAACUUACGCUAAUACCGCAUGCGCCCUUCGGGGGAAAGCCGGGGACCUUCGGGCCUGGCGCGAUUGGAUGAGCCCACGUCGGAUUAGCUAGUUGGCGGGGUAAAGGCCCACCAAGGCGACGAUCCGUAGCUGGUCUGAGAGGAUGAUCAGCCACACUGGAACUGAGACACGGUCCAGACUCCUACGGGAGGCAGCAGUAGGGAAUAUUGGACAAUGGGCGCAAGCCUGAUCCAGCCAUGCCGCGUGAGUGAAGAAGGCCCUCGGGUUGUAAAGCUCUUUUGUCCGGAAAGAAAAGCGCCGGGUUAAUACCCUGGUGUCCUGACGGUACCGGAAGAAUAAGCACCGGCUAACUUCGUG
rnacentral:rRNA from 1 species